rnacentral:lncRNA from 1 species
UGAAAGUGUCGUUUCUAGAGCUGGUAUGAGCAUAGGAAGUGUUGAUUCUUUAAAUGAAAAAUAUGUCCUUUUCUGUAAUAAAUGUCUCCUAUUUUCUCAUCCUUUCCCACUGGCAGCCUCUCCACCAUCUUUCACUGCCAUUGCCCACAGCGGAUCCCAGGACUGGAUGCAAGAACAUCCGCAGAAGCCCUGCUUGAGUAGAACAGAGCAUGUCUGCUCUUUGUGCUCGUGUUCACAAAACGAAGACCUUGAAGAAGGGAACUGGAGCCUUACAACUUCACUCUGUCAAGGAACAGGGGAAAAAGAUGGUUAGAGCUACAGAGCAGAUCACUGGCUGAGCUGAUGAUCACACAGAGGUAUCAUUCUGAUAAGUCUUUCACCACCUGCUGAUUGUCUUCCUUCUGCUGGGUGUUCACAGGUAAAGAAACUGGCCCUUCCUUAUAAGAUACUGUAGUAAUGGUGGACACUUAUUCCCUAAAGGAAUUUUUACUUUGCAUCCCCUAUUUGCCGUUGAUCUAGGAUCUUUAUCUCAUCUAUGUAACGAGCUAAUUCUUUUCUUUUGUGAAAUAUAUGUUUGUGUUUAAAGUACAUUUCUUCUUUUUCGCUUGUAAACUUAGGCCACCAUGGUGACAAUAAUUCUAAUACUCCAGAUCUGAAUUAAUCAUGCUGAAGAUACUUUUAACCUAUUGUCCUUUAAGGACAUAGGAGAAGAUGGUUAAAAGUCUUGUGGUUCAUCAGAGAAAAAGUGAAGUGUUAAUUGGAGUUUCCGAUACUUUCCAACAAGUGAGCGUAACUGGAGUCCAGACAAAUAAAAGGGAAGGUGCUGGCCUACUCUUACUCUGU